AUACGUAGGGGGCGAGCGUUGUCCGGAAUGAUUGGGCGUAAAGGGCGCGUAGGCGGCCCGGUAAGUCUGGAGUGAAAGUCCUGUUUUUAAGAUGGGAAUUGCUUUGGAUACUGUCGGGCUUGAGUGCAGGAGAGGUAAGUGGAAUUCCCAGUGUAGCGGUGAAAUGCGUAGAGAUUGGGAGGAACACCAGUGGCGAAGGCGACUUACUGGACUGUAACUGACGCUGAGGCGCGAAAGUGUGGGGAGCAAACAGGAUUAGAUACCUUGGUAGUCCACACUGUAAACGAUGAAUGCUAGGUGUAGGGGGUAUCGACCCCUUCUGUGCCGCAGUCAACACAAUAAGCAUUCCGCCUGGGGAGUACGGCCGCAAGGUUGAAACUCAAAUGAAUUGACGGGG
rnacentral:rRNA from 1 species